UACGUAGGCAGCAAGCGUUGUUCGGAGUUACUGGGCGUAAAGGGUGUGUAGGCGGUUUUCUAAGUUUGGUGUGAAAUCUCCCGGCUCAACUGGGAGGGUGCGCCGAAGACUGGAAGGCUUGAGUAUGGGAGAGGUAAGCGGAAUUCCUGGUGUAGCGGUGAAAUGCGUAGAUAUCAGGAGGAACACCUGCGGUGUAGACGGCUUACUGGACCAUAACUGACGCUGAGGCACGAAAGCGUGGGUAGCAAACAGG
rnacentral:rRNA from 1 species